GCCCCGGUAGCUCAGCAGGUAGAGCGCCUGCCUUGUAAGCAGGAGGUCGAGGGUUCAAAUCCCUCCCGGGGCU
rnacentral:tRNA from 1 species